rnacentral:rRNA from 1 species
CACGUAGGGUGCGAGCGUUGUCCGGAAUUAUUGGGCGUAAAGAGCUCGUAGGCGGUGUGCCGCGUCGGCCGUGAAAACCUGCAGCUUAACUGUGGGCGUGCGGUCGAUACGGGCAUCACUGGAGUUCGGCAGGGGAGACUGGAAUUCCUGGUGUAGCGGUGAAAUGCGCAGAUAUCAGGAGGAACACCGGUGGCGAAGGCGGGUCUCUGGGCCGAUACUGACGCUGAGGAGCGAAAGCGUGGGGAGCGAACAGG